CCUACGGGAGGCAGCAGUGGGGGAUAUUGCACAAUGGGGGGAACCCUGAUGCAGCGACGCCGCGUGGGUGAAGGAGCGUUUCGGCGCGUAAAGCCCUAUCGGCAGGGAAGAAGGAGGACGGUACCUGACUAAGAAGCCCCGGCUAACUACGUGCCAGCAGCCGCGGUAAUACGUAGGGGGCAAGCGUUAUCCGGAUUAACUGGGGGUAAAGGGGGCGCAGAGGGGAGCGCAAGCCGGGAGGGAAAGCCCGGGGGCCAACCCCGGAACUGCUUUUGGAACUGCGCGGCUGGAGUGCAGGAGGGGCAGGCGGAAGUGCUGGUGUAGCGGUGAAAUGCGUAGAUAUCAGGAGGAACACCAGUGGCGAAGGCGGCCUGCUGGACUGCGACUGACGUUGAGGCCCGAAAGCGUGGGGAGCAAACAGGAUUAGAUACCCGUGUAGUC
rnacentral:rRNA from 1 species